UACGGAGGGGACUAGCGUUGUUCGGAAUUACUGGGCGUAAAGCGCACGUAGGCGGAUUUGUAAGUCAGGGGUGAAAUCCCGGGGCUCAACCUCGGAACUGCCUUUAAGACUGCAUCGCUUGAAUCCGGGAGAGGUGAGUGGAAUUCCGAGUGUAGAGGUGAAAUUCGUAGAUAUUCGGAAGAACACCAGUGGCGAAGGCGGCUCACUGGACCGGCAUUGACGCUGAGGUGCGAAAGCGUGGGGAGCAAACAGG
rnacentral:rRNA from 1 species